rnacentral:rRNA from 1 species
GAUGAACGCUGGCGGCGUGCCUAAUACAUGCAAGUCGAGCGAACAGGCGAGAAGCUUGCUUCUCUGAUGUUAGCGGCGGACGGGUGAGUAACACGUGGAUAACCUACCUAUAAGACUGGGAUAACUUCGGGAAACCGGAGCUAAUACCGGAUGAUAUUUUGAACCGCAUGGUUCAAAAGUGAAAGACGGUCUUGCUGUCACUUAUAGAUGGAUCCGCGCUGCAUUAGCUAGUUGGUAAGGUAACGGCUUACCAAGGCAACGAUGCAUAGCCGACCUGAGAGGGUGAUCGGCCACACUGGAACUGAGACACGGUCCAGACUCCUACGGGAGGCAGCAGUAGGGAAUCUUCCGCAAUGGGCGAAAGCCUGACGGAGCAACGCCGCGUGAGUGAUGAAGGUCUUCGGAUCGUAAAACUCUGUUAUUAGGGAAGAACAUAUGUGUAAGUAACUGUGCACAUCUUGACGGUACCUAAUCAGAAAGCCACGGCUAACUACGUG